AGCCCGACGAGCCCGUCUUCCAUCUAGGCUCGAGCCUCGUCGCUCAAGCCCGGGAGCG
rnacentral:tRNA from 1 species